CCUACGGGGGGCUGCAGUGAGGAAUAUUGGUCAAUGGGCGCGAGCCUGAACCAGCCAAGUCGCGUGAGGGAUGAAGGUUCUAUGGAUCGUAAACCUCUUUUAUAAGGGAAUAAAGUGUGGGACGUGUCCUAUUUUGUAUGUACCUUAUGAAUACGGAUAGGCUAACUCCGUGCCAGCAGCCGCGGUAAUACGGAGGAUACGAGCGUUAUCCGGAUUUAUUGGGUUUAAAGGGUGCGUAGGCGGCCUUUUAAGUCAGCGGUGAAAGUCUGUGGCUCAACCAUAGAAUUGCCGUUGAAACUGGGGGGCUUGAGUAUGUUAGAGGCAGGCGGAAUGCGAGGUGAAGCGGUGAAAUGCGUAGAUAUCACGCAGAACCCCGAUUGCGAAGGCAGCCUACCAAGCCAUGACUGACGCUGAUGCACGAAAGCGUGGGGAUCAAACAGGAUUAGAUACCCCAGUAGUC
rnacentral:rRNA from 1 species